AUGAACUCCCAGAAAGAAUGGAGAUGCCAAAUGAGAUUAUUCUUGCUUCUCCUGGGAUCAGUGAUAAACCCCUUAUCUGAAAACAAGAAAUACUGAGUAACUUUAAAGUCAAGAAGCAUGUCUUUAUAGUGCAUGUGAAGAGGUAGCACUCCACUUUUCACCCUGGUUCUGAGUUUCUUCAGGAAUAAGUUACCUCAGGAAGACUGCACGCAGGAUAUACUUGAGGGUGAAACUCCUCAAGGAAGCCAUUUUGGAUUGUGCCGGUGUAGGCCUGCUCAUUUGUACACUUCACCUGCCCAUACCUAGGCUUCAAUGUUUCUACAAAUUGGAUCAGCGGCAAUGGCUAAGAGAAAGAGGACCCUUGAUGACAACUUUCACCGAAAGCUGUUCCAAUGAAGGGAACAUCACAACCAACCUGAAGGGGCACACAGGAGGAAGCCUCGUGAGGAAGCCUUGUUUUGACCCUCUUAUGUGUUCUGAUGGCAAAAAGCAAGGAGACAUGUGGGUUGAGAGAAUAUGAUUGGAGAAAGAGGGCAAGUCCUGUCUGAUGUAGGUUGAGAGAGAGCUACUAAAUGAAGGCUGGAGUGUUGACGGCUGCAUUUCCACACAAAGUGUUAGGGGACCAGAGACCCACUCUGCAAGAGCCUACUUCUGUUAGCCACUGUGCAAGAUGGCAAUAUUUAGGGCCGAACUCUAUGCUGAUACAUCUUCAAGUGUUCUUUAUCUUUAACUAAACUUUUAUUUUUCAAGCCGAGUAUGCUUACAUUUUUGUCUCUCACUUCAAUAUUUUAAACAUGUGCCUCAGGAUGUUGAGAUAAGCAAGCCCUAAGUUGUAGCUAUCCCUUCCUCUUAAAUUAUAGUCUUAACUAGGCAUGCUUGGGAAUGGCCAGCUCUUGUAUGAGUAUGAAUAGGAUCCCUGAAUAAAACCCCCAUGCUCCCUCUGUUCAAAGAGGGCAUCAUUUUGGAAACAAAAUAAUCUCUUUUUGUGGUAAGGCAAUAAACCAAUCUGUGGUGAUAUCUUUAUUGUACAAAUAUAGCAUGCCUGGAGAUCAGAGAGAUGGAGGAGCACCUUACCUUGCCAACUUCCCAGCUGAAAAGAGAAUGAGUUCCUGUUUCCUCUUGCUCAUAUUCCUCUCUCCGCCCAGCCAUCUCACUUCCUGUCUCUGCCCAGACAUCUCACUUCCUGUCUGUCUGUUAGCAAGUGGCAAGCUCCACCCUCUGAUCUUCAGACACCCUUUAUUUGUACAAACAAGAUAUCACCACACCAAUCUCUGUACUUGAUGUUGCAGCUGUACUUGUUUGGUUUCACACUUGCUAACAUAAACCCACUGUGUUCAAUUUCACUGCUGAGCUACUUGGAACUCACUGCAUGAGAUUUGGACCUGAUAAAACUCUAGUAUCUUGCAUCUCAUCCUAUAGGACUAUUGUUAGUUCUUCACACAGGAGGAAUGAAUGGGCUUUCAUUCAAACUUAAUAUAGCCCAGCAUCAAGUAGUCACCUUAAUGAUCCUUAGACACUCCAAUGGUAAUACUAUAGCUAAAGGAAAGACGAGAGACAGUAUUGCUCAGUAGACAUUCUCUGAUAAGCAUUAUUUGAAUCAAAUUUUCCCUGGAUGAAUUGACCAAAAUAAAUGACCUUAUCUUUUACAGUAUAAUAGUCUUAGUGAGCAAGCUUCACUUCAAAUGGAUUUCUAAUCCAUUAGAUUAGUUGUUGCUUGCAUUUCUUGUGAGGUCAAUCAAUACUGAAAAUUGAAGACAAACUUAUUUGAAUUCUAAUUAAAGUCCUUUUAUUAACAAUUCAACAUUGAAAUAUUUAGAAGCAUGGAAGUUUAUUGAGAAUGUCUUGUGCUUUCUAGACCAUUUCACUCUCCAGAAGCAAAAUAUGAUUUAUGAUGCACAUUUUUGUGUAUUUUCCUUGAAUAUACAGGCAUGCUUGUGUGUUAUAUGUACUAUUCAAAACAUGUAUAAUAAUUAAUGCAUCAUAGAUAUAAUUUCAUUUCUGCCUUUUUCUUUCUGAUAACUCAUAAGUAUUUUGUUGUUAGAUAUCUAACUAGUCUGUGAAUUAGUAGACAUCUAGGUUAUCUUCAAUGUUUUCUAUUAAAUAUUAUUUAGUGCAAGUGUA
ensembl:lncRNA